rnacentral:rRNA from 1 species
GACGAACCGUGCGAACGUUAUUCGGAAUCACUGGGCUUAAAGCGCGUGUAGGCGGGCCGCCACGUCGGCUGCUGAAAUCCCCCGGCUCAACCGGGGAACGGGCACCGAUACGAGCGGCCUGGAGGGGGUAGGGGGCACUGGAACUUCCGGUGGAGCGGUGAAAUGCGUUGAGAUCGGAAGGAACGCCCGUGGCGAAAGCGAGUGCCUGGACCCUUACUGACG